GCAUAAGUGAAGUCUCCCACAAAGGCAUUCCUUGGAAAUCUGAACAAAAUGACUCAGCAAUCCCUACCGUCUCCUCAUUGGAAUUGACGUCC